AACUCCCACCCCCUCCCUUCUCGGCUCCUUCCAAAGCCACGCCCCCAAAACACGUGAACGCGCCUUGCAGACACCGCAGCAGGACGAGCACAGUGUGACGAGCGGAGAGCAGCGGCUCACAUCAGGGGUUAGAGCUUCCACUGUGACAGCAUUAUUGUCUCUGAUGAGGACUGCACCCCAGAGCCAAGCACAAACCGGGACAGGACCGGGACCAGCCCGGGGUCGAGGCGAAGCAGAGGAGGGAGGGCUGCCGGGGUCCGAGGAAGAAGAGGCAGGACGAGGUGCAAGACGAGCAGCACAUAUCUGCAAUGAGCUUAACGCUCCAACAACAGCAUAUGAACAGACCAGAAUCUGAGGACUGUGGACAACAUCCAGACUACAGUGUUUCCAUGCACCACACAA